rnacentral:rRNA from 1 species
UAAAAAGGCCAUAUCACCCUGCAGCCCAAGACCGGUUACUCACUGAAGCUAAGCAGGGCUGAGCCUGGCCAGUACCUGGAUGGGAGACCACAUGGUAAAGCUAGGUUGCUGUUUGAA